UUUUAACUUGAAUUUUAUUGUCAUAUGUUGUAAUGGUACAAAAGGAGAGCCUGAACAUUAGGCAGAGUUCAGUUGUCCAUUGUUACAGACGUCCCACUUAAAAAGCCAGUGUUCAGUCCACUUGGCAACAAUUAGUAAAAGGCCUUGUGAUACAGACAGUGCUGAGUGAAACAAGUCCGUCCAUCCAACUUUUAGUUUACAUUUAACGCUGCUCAGGUUUAAAAGCGUUCCUUCCAGUAUCAAUGCACACAUGCUUUCAAAUGAAAUGGAUGGAAAUGAACCGUUUUCCCUGAUCUACAGGCAUCAGAAUACAGAGAUGAAUUGUACAGAGCAGAUACAAUCAUGAUUUAUGUUCCAUACACAGGCAGAUGUGAAUAUAAUGCAACCAUGGUAGUUUAAGAAAAAUCUAGGGCAAUGAAAAGGAAAUGAAACCGUCUGGAAAUGUACACUCUUGGGAAAUAUUAACAGAUGAUGUGCUGCUGUACACAAUGCCCACACUGGAGGGUGAGCUCACCUCCAUUUACAGUAAGUCAAGAUUGUCGAGAGUCGUUUCUGCCCUGUUUUGUUUAUUCAAAAACAGCAGUGUCCAAAGGGAAACCAGCAGCAAUAUGAAUGAUGAUUAUGAGCAAGAAAAAAACUGACCAGUCACGCUGCUUCACACAAACACUGCUUAAGUGAUACAUAAUUUAGAAAAACACAAAAGGAAUUGGGAAAAGCUGGAAAAUAACAAAAAAGAAGAAGAACAAAAACAAGAAAAGCUUUUAUACGCACUGACUUAAUGUGUUUGGGUGAAAAUGUGCUGAGACUGUAUCUGAAACUGCUAGAGUUUUCUUGUAACCAAGGAGCACGUAUGAGUCAUCAAAACUUCCUCCUUUUGGUUUUGUGGGAAUGUCUGACUGACCUUUUCCUUGGACCUUCACCUGAUUCACUAACAGAAAAGGGAGUGGGCUGAAAAUUAGACGCAUGAGUCAGAGGGAAGUGACGGUGAAGGACUGUACAGCCGAGUCACGGCUCUGAAGGACACGACAAAAAUGACCAAGGCAACUCGUCACCAUAAUAUUUGUGCGUAUGUGUCCAAACAUAUGCACGAAAAACAAACAAACACCCAGAUAAAAACAUACUCAUGGGAAUUUU
ensembl:lncRNA